GAGAGAAAGUAUGUGAAGAGCUUAAUCCGCAGCGGGUCUAUCUGUGCGCGUGUGUGCGCAGAGCCUGGCCUCCCAGGGCCGGUCACCCCUGCGGCUCAGGGCUCUGUGUGUGUGUGUGUGCACUUGUGUGUGCACGUGCGUGUGCACGCCUGAGACCGUGGUGGGCGUGGAGUCCAGACAUGGCGGGGCUGCCUUCAGGGCGAGUCCUGGUCUCAGCGGGCGCUGCGGUGGGCUGUCCAGACACCUGAGAAAAGCUCGGCUCGCUAGAUCGCUAGAACGCCCGCCCCCCAGGCCACCUGCCCCGGCUCCAGGAGGGGCCGCCCCUUCCUUCCUCCUGGGGAUGCGGAGAACAACACAGCCACCCAGGAAACACGUGUGCGCUGGGCCAUGGGGGCGGCGGAGGUGCUUGGAGCGGGUGGUCGACGCACUUUUUCUAGAUCCAGCCCCAGAAGGAACGGGGGCCGCCCUUCCGGGCUCUGCAUGUGACAAUUGCCAAGGCCCCGAGGUGGCCAGGAGUCUGUGCGGGAGGUAAGGGAAGGAGAGGUUGCUCGGUGGGAGUCCAGAAUGGGUGCAGCCCCUUUGGAGAAGCCUGAAGUUAUCUCUUAAAGUUGGACAUUCCCGCCAGGCACAGGCCGAGGACACACUCCUGCCCACGUCUGUCAGGAAGCGUGCAGAAGAAUCUUUAGAGUCAGCACUGUCAGGAAUAGCAAGAACCAGCAAAUAGCGCACUGCCCGCCCCCUGGACAGCGGACCAACACCUCGUGGGGUAUUCAUAGAAUGGGAUAUCACAGAGGUGUGAGAAAGGACUCGAAGCUAUCGACCCCACGUGAAUAAGUCUCGUCACCCUAACAUGGAGUGAAAAAAAUGAGUCCCAGAAAAUUGCAUUCGGCAUGAUAAUCUUUGGCAGGAGUAAAAGACAGUUAAAACUAAAAAGUACACUGCUAG
rnacentral:lncRNA from 1 species